GGAGGGAUGGCCGAGUGGUUUAUGGCGCACGCUUGGAAAGCGUGUUUACGGCAACGUAUCCAGGGUUCGAAUCCCUGUCUCUCCG
rnacentral:tRNA from 1 species